UCCGUAGGUGGCCCUCGUUGUCCUUCUUUACUUUGCUUCCAGGGCUCGUAGGCGGAUACUUACUUGGGAUGUGAAAUACCUGGGCUUAACUUGGGUGCUGCAUUCCAAACUGGGUGUCUAGAGUGUUGGAGAGGAAAGUGGAAUUCCUAGUGUAGCGGUGAAAUGCGUAGAGAUUAGGAAGAACACCAGUGGCGAAGGCGACUUUCUGGACAAUAACUGACGCUGAGGCUCGAAAGCGUGGGGAGCAAACAGGAUUAGAUACCCUGGUAGUCCACGCCGUAAACGAUGGGUACUAGGUGUAGGAGGUAUCGACUCCUCCUGUGCCGCCGUUAACACAAUAAGUACCCCGCCUGGGGAGUACGGUCGCAAGAUUAAA
rnacentral:rRNA from 1 species